CGUCCUACUCGCCGGCGCUGCUGCUGACGCUGAGCCUGCUGCACGCGCUGCUUUGCCUCUUGUGCUACUAGAUAGCGGAACGGCGCCCAGCCGCCAGCUCGUGCCCGGCCGGGAGACGUCAGCUGGGGAGCCACCGCCGUCGCCCUACGAGCACCCAACCCAACCCACCCACCGCUACACACAAAAAAAGAAAGAAGAAAAGGUGCAAAAAGUUGAAAAAGAAAAAACAGUACUCUUGGUUGUUAUUGCUUCUUUCUUUGCUCGGGGAAGUCAUCGGCCGGCCGGUCGGUGUUUUUGUCUUUGCGGCAUUGUCGGGUCGCCGCCCAUUUUCAAAUAGUCACGGGAAUAAUGACCCUCCUCCCUCUGUAUCUGUUGCGCUCGCCGCCCGCGAUGUUUGGGAGAAAGCAAAAAGCCGGCGUGUCGCGUAGGGCGGCCUUUAUAUGGAGGGGCACGUGAAAAGGCUUCCAAAACAAAGGCCGAAUAAGGUUCCUUUGGGUGGGGAUGGUUGGGCUAACUAAAGCAAAGUGUCUUUUGGAUUUUGCUCCUUUGCAUGCUGUCUUUGGUCUUGUUCACCUUUUUUUUUCUGCUAAAGCUAAUAAAAGCAUUCAAUGCA